rnacentral:lncRNA from 1 species
UAUUAUCUUUGAGUUGUUUACUGAAGUACGGAGCCCGCCUGGAGAAUGGAGGUGUUAUGUCUUUAAGAAAUAGUCGAAGUUAGGAGCUCGCCUGGAGAAUGGAGGUGUUAUAUUUUUUAAGUCAUAAUUGAAGUCAGGAGCCCGCCUGAAAAAUGGAGGUGUUAUAUUUCUUGAGAAGGUUGAAGUCAGGAGCCCGCCUGGAGAAUGAAGGUGUUAUGUUUUUAAGAAAUUAUCGAAGUUAGGAGCUCGCCUGAA